AGAGUAAGUUGUGUGGUCGCGUGCCAAAAGCAUGAGGAAAGUCCGUGCUCUACAGAGCGUGAUGCUGGAUAACGUCCAGUGGGGGCGACCCUAAGGAAAGUGCAACAGAAAGAAACCGCCUAGCAUAUCAAGUGUGAGGUAAGGAUGGAAAGGCGAGGUAAGAGCUCACCAGCAUUUAGGUGACUAAAUGGCUAUGUAAACCCCAUCAAGAGCAAGACCAAAAGAGAACAAAAAAAGCAGCUGCUCGUUGCUGUUCAAAUGGUAGGUCGCAGGAAUCUAUUGGUAACAACAGAUCUAGAUAGAUGACCAUAUAAACAGAACACGGCUUAUAGACUUACUCAUUGA
rnacentral:RNase_P_RNA from 1 species